rnacentral:misc_RNA from 1 species
AUUUUGGAGAAAUGCAUAAAUGAUAUCUUUGACCAAUUGUGGACUGAAAAAUGGUCAAUAAUGACCAAGGGAAAUGUAUGGGAAUUGUUAGAAUGGAAGACAAAUUCGUAGGUUAGCAUGACCAAACCUACUUUGAAGGACCAAAACGGGAAUUUUACAAGCUCAAUUGAUAUGCCACCAAUUGGAGAUGAAAAUAGACAUAAAAUAGCACAAUUUUCAUUAAGGAACCAUGGCCAAAAACUGACUAAAACUUGGUGAACCAAUUGACCAAAGUGAAAUAAGAGCAGGCUGCCACUGCACCAAACUGACCAAAUGAACAGUAACUGUUCAUUUGGUCAUAACUCGAGUUAGACAGGUCAGAUUGACCUGAAAUUUGGCUAGGGGUUAGAGGGCAUAUAGAUAUAAAACUUUCAUGAAGAACAUCAC